GCUACCUUCCCAAAUGCAGGCUUCUCCUCUCCCCUGGGACACUGCUAGAGCCGCCUUCCUGAUGCUCCAUGUUGUUCAGUGGCAUGCCACUGCUCAACAACAUUCCGUGGCUCCCCAGUACAACGUCUUCACUCUGUUUGCACGGGGCUCCUGCCUCCUUCAUCUCCCAGGAAGGAGAAAACUAAAGAGACGGCAAAGCUGAGAUAAGACUUGAAGAAGCCAAACCUUCAGAUGUCACUUCACAUGUCACCUUCUCCGGGUCAGCACCCCUGUCGUGCAUUCUCACAGCAGCCUGUCCCUGCGGUGGCCUCCAGCUCUAUUGUAAUGCAACGAUCUUUCAUGUUGUGGACGCAACAUCCAUCUCCCCCUCCGCACAGAAGCUCUGCGGGGCGGCGCCUGGUGCUGGGCACACAGUAGCUGCUCAAUAAAUGUUUGUCAAUUGAAUGAAUAAAUGGAUGACCACAGCCAGCAGCCCGCUCAGGCCAGCCGGGCCGAGGACCCAGGCACUUCCUCCUGACGGCCAACGUCUGGUUCUCAACCACCGGGAGGACUGCAGAGUGACCCGAUGGGCCAGGCCCGGGGAGGCCGGGAGACGGAAGCGGGGUUCCUGGAGCUGGUGGGGAUUGUCUGAGGCGAAGGGAAGAAACACAGGCGAGAAGCUGAGUUUUGGGAACUGUGAAGGAGGCAGAGUUAGGAGGACGCGGCAGCCCGCUUGGUUCUGUGCGCUCGGCCAGCGCCCGGCCACUGAGCUUCCGUCCAGCCUGGAAAGGGUUAACAGCACUGAGUGGGGCCUGGGUGGGACACAGCGGGAAGGCUCGGUCUGGGGCCAGGGGCGGGGGCUUUCCUGGUGGGGGUGGAGAAGGCCCGCUGCUCCCCCGGGAGCCCUGGGGCCGCACCCACCCAGCUCCUCCUGCUGGAGGAGACAGCUUUCCGCUCAGGGAGUGGUGGGACCACCCUGGAGGCCUGGGGGUGCGGACAGCAGGGUUGUCCCAGCCGUGCGGAUGGGAGGAGCUUGCCCGCUGUUCCCAGUCCUCAGGUGGUGUCUGGCUGCACAUGGCUUGUUGAUGGGAAAGCUUCCAUUUUCCAGGGUGUGGAAUGGAGGCCCAGAGAAGGCUAGCAGCUGCUCAAAGCCACACAGCAAGUCCUGA
rnacentral:lncRNA from 1 species